AUUUAGUAAGUGCCCGUACCGAUAACCGACACAGGUAGGCGAGGAGAGAAUCCUAAGAUGAGCGAGAGAACUCUUGUUAAGGAACUCGGCAAAAUGACCCCGUAACUUCGGGAGAAGGGGUGCUUGUGAAAGCAAGCCGCAGUGAAUAGGCCCAGGCGACUGUUUAUCAAAAACACAGGUCUCUGCUAAACCGCAAGGUGAUGUAUAGGGGCUGACGCCUGCCCGGUGCUGGAAGGUUAAGAGGAGAGGUUAGCGCAAGCGAAGCUUUGAAUUGAAGCCCCAGUAAACGGCGGCCGUAACGAUAACGGUCCUAAGGUAGCGAAAUACCUUGUCGGGUAAGUUCCGACCCGCACGAAAGGCGUAACGAUCUGGGCGCUGUCUCAACAAGAGACUCGGUGAAAUCAUAGUACCUGUGAAGAUGCAGGUUACCCGCGACAGGACGGAAAGACCCCGUGGAGCUUUACUGUAGCUUGAUAUUGAGCACUGGUGACACAUGUACAGGAUAGGUAGGAGACGAAGAAGCCAGGACGCCAGUCUUGGUGGAGUCGCUGUUGGGAUACUACCCUUGUGUUACUGGGGUUCUAACCCGUGGCCAUGAUCUGGUCAGGGAACAGUGUCAGGUGGGCAGUUUGACUGGGGCGGUCGCCUCCCAAAGAGUAACGGAGGCGCCCAAAGGUUCCCUCAGAAUGGUUGGAAAUCAUUCGAAGAGUGUAAAGGCAGAAGGGAGCUUGACUGCGAGACCUACAAGUCGAGCAGGGACGAAAGUCGGGCUUAGUGAUCCGGCGGUACCGAAUGGAAGGGCCGUCGCUCAACGGAUAAAAGCUACCCCGGGGAUAACAGGCUGAUCUCCCCCAAGAGUUCACAUCGACGGGGAGGUUUGGCACCUCGAUGUCGGCUCAUCGCAUCCUGGGGCUGUAGUCGGUCCCAAGGGUUGGGCUGUUCGCCCAUUAAAGCGGUACGCGAGCUGGGUUCAGAGCGUCGUGAGACAGUUCGGUCCCUAUCCGUCGUGGGCGUAGGAAAUUUGAGAGGAGCUGUCCUUAGUACGAGAGGACCGGGAUGGACACACCGCUGGUGUACCAGUUGUUCUGCCAGGAGCAUAGCUGGGUAGCUACGUGUGGACGGGAUAAACGCUGAAAGCAUCUAAGCGUGAAGCCCCCCUCAAGAUGAGAUUUCCCAUUCGAAAGAAGUAAGAUCCCUUGAAGACGACAAGGUAGAUAGGUCAGAAGUGGAAGUGUGGUGACACAUGGAGCGGACUGAUACUAAUCGAUCGAGGACUUAAUCAA
rnacentral:rRNA from 1 species